rnacentral:rRNA from 1 species
AGAACGAACGCUGGCGGCAGGCUUAACACAUGCAAGUCGAACGCUCCGCAAGGGGAGUGGCAGACGGGUGAGUAACGCGUGGGAAUCUACCCAAUACUACGGAAUAGCUCCGGGAAACUGGAAUUAAUACCGUAUGUGCCCUACGGGGGAAAGAUUUAUCGGUAUUGGAUGAGCCCGCGUUGGAUUAGCUAGUUGGUGAGGUAACGGCCCACCAAGGCGACGAUCCAUAGCUGGUCUGAGAGGAUGAUCAGCCACACUGGGACUGAGACACGGCCCAGACUCCUACGGGAGGCAGCAGUGGGGAAUAUUGGACAAUGGGCGCAAGCCUGAUCCAGCCAUGCCGCGUGAGUGAUGAAGGCCUUAGGGUUGUAAAGCUCUUUCAGUGGGAAGAUAAUGACGGUACCCACAGAAGAAGCCCGGCUAACUUCGCGCCAGCAGCCGC